rnacentral:miRNA from 1 species
GGGGGGGGGGGGGGGGGGGGGGGGGGGGGGGGGGGGGGGGGGGGGGGGGGUCCCCCCCAGGCCGCCGCCCGCGCCUCCCC